rnacentral:rRNA from 1 species
AGAGUUUGAUCCUGGCUCAGAUUGAACGCUGGCGGCAUUUACACAUGCAAGUCGAACGGUAACGCGGGGGCAACCCUGGCGACGAGUGGCGAACGGGUGAGUAAUACAUCGGAACGUGCCCGGUAGUGGGGGAUAGCUCGGCGAAAGCCGGAUUAAUCCGCAUACGACCUAAGGGUGAAAGCGGGGGAUCGCAAGCCUCGCGCUAUUGGAGCGGCCGAUGGCAGAUUAGCUUGUUGGUGAGGUAAAGGCUCACCAAGGCGACGAUCUGUAGCUGGUCUGAGAGGACGACCAGCCACACUGGGACUGAGACACGGCCCAGACUCCUACGGGAGGCAGCAGUGGGGAAUUUUGGACAAUGGGCGCAAGCCUGAUCCAGCAAUGCCGCGUGUGUGAUGAAGGCCUUCGGGUUGUAAAGCACUUUUGGUGGGAACGAAACGGUCCGGGCUAAUACCCUGGACUACUGACGGUACCCGCAGAAUAAGCACCGGCUAACUACGUGCCAGCAGCCGCGGUAAUACGUAGGGUGCAAGCGUUAAUCGGAAUUACUGGGCGUAAAGCGUGCGCAGGCGGUUUUGUAAGACCGAUGUGAAAUCCCCGGGCUUAACCUGGGAACUGCAUUGGUGACUGCAAGGCUUGAGUGUGUCAGAGGGAGGUGGAAUUCCGCGUAGCAGUGAAAUGCGUAGAUAUGCGGAGGAACACCGAUGGCGAAGGCAGCCUCCUGGGAUAACACUGACGCUCAUGCACGAAAGCGUGGGGAGCAAACAGGAUUAGAUACCCUAGUAGUCC